rnacentral:rRNA from 1 species
GUGCCAGCCGCCGCGGUAAAACGUAGGAGGCAAGCGUUAUCCGGAUUUACUGGGCGUAAAGCGCGUGUAGGCGGCCCGGUCAGUCGGACGUGAAAUCUCCUGGCUCAACUGGGAGGGGCCGUUCGACACUACCGGGCUUGAGGGCAAGAGAGGGAGGUGGAAUUCCGGGUGUAGCGGUGAAAUGCGUAGAUAUCCGGAGGAACACCUGUGGCGAAAGCGGCCUCCUGGCUUGCCCCUGACGCUCAGACGCGAAAGCUAGGGGAGCGAACGGGAUUAGAUACCCCUGUAGUCC